GCAGGCAGGCAGGCAGGCAGGCAGGGCAGGCAGGCAGGCCGGCCACUGGAGAAGUCAGCCCCAGGUUUUGCAGGGCUGCAGCCUGCUCUCCCAGCGACACCCGGUGGGUGCUGGGGGAAAAGCCACCGUGAGGCAUACCGGGGCGGUGGGUGCUGGGAUGGGGGGGGGGGGCGUGGGUGCUGCUGGGGGUGACCUUGCCUCUGUUUCCUCACCCGUGUCACCUCCCGGCCCGUGCAAGUGGGUCAUCCUCCGGCUCGCAGCUUGGCUGAUCGCGCGGUCCCAUCUCGCUGGACGUGGGGUCCGAGGUGCCCAGCCCUGCAGUGCGCCCACGGUGGGACAGCCGCCACGCUCGGGGGGUCCUCGAGGGCCCCAUCCCAGCCCCUGACCCAGCAGAGAUCCUCGGUGGGAAACACACGCCGUCACCGGGUGACAUUCGCACCUGGCAGCCUGAAAAAGGUGAGACCGCAGUUCAGCCAGGGACAAGUGCAAAGUCCGGGACACCGCCAAGAAUAAUCAUCGGCACCCGGCCAAGCCAGGGCGCGCUGGGCCAGCGGCGACGCUGCGGCAAGCACCCUGCGCCGCGGCCGGGCGGGCGGCAGGCAUGGGGCUGGCCCUGGCACCGGUGGUACGUGGGGUUGGGGGGCAGCCGUGGCCCCCCAGAAUAGGGCAGGGGCUGGGCUGUCCCAGGGGGCUGGCAGGGAGAGGGCAAGAGGUGGCCGGGAGCUGGAGAUGACACGGCUGGACUUUGGCCACCGGGACAGACUUUGGAGCUGAAAGGUCCCGGCUGGCACCCGGGGUCGGGCUGCGUGGGACGAGUGGGGGGUCAGUGAUGGGGAGAGGGGAAUGGGACCCUAUGGCCAGCCCUGCGCCCAUCCAGGGACGGGGGCUGUGCUGGUGAAAAGCUGGGACCCCCUGGGAGGGGAGGCAGGAGCGGUAGGGGGGGGUCCCGUGCCCCCGUACCCAGGCUGACGCCAGCCCCUGCCCCACGGGGGGGGCACGGCUGGGACCAGAGCUGCUCCCUCUGGCCCGCGGGCACUCAUCCUGCUGGCCACGGGGGUCCCCUCGGGAGCGGGGACCCCCCCCUCCUCCCUCCAGGGACUACAGCGCUUUUCCUUACGCUUUCUUACCGCUUUUAUCCCAUCACACCCCGUGCCGGCAGCCAACCAACCCCGCAGCUCCUAUGUCCCCCCGGGACCUGCUGGGACCCUCCCACCCAGGACAGGCACCCCGAAACGGUGCCCAGCACGUGGCAGGAGGGCGCGGGGAUCCCCCACCCACCCCCCCACACCCCUCCACACACCCCCAGACCCAGGGGGACUCGGCCAAGUGGGACCAGAACGAGGAGCAGAGCGUGGCCAGGCCGUCACCCGUCUGCAUCCGGAGGUGGUGACGCGCCUGCCUCACGUCACUGCCCCGGCAGCCAGGACUCGCUCCCGCCCGCGUGCCGCUGCCGGUUCCCCAAAAACACAGUGCGGCUGCCGGGGCCCUUCUCCCCGCAGCCACCGGCGCCUGCCGGGAUCCCACGGGACCCGGCUGGGAGGAGACGGGCGCUGCUUUGCCCUGCCCUGCGGAUGCGGUGGGAGGUACGAGGCCUCCAUUCCCAGCAGAGCGGCUGCCCAGACCUCUCGGCCCCCAGGUGAGAGCCAUCUUCACCCCGUGCCAGGCUGUGCCAUGCCGUGCCAGGCUGUGCCACGCCGCACCGUGAGCCGGGGCAGGUUCGAUGCCCUGCCGGGUUCCAUCCAGGCUCUGUGCCCCUCUGUGCUGAGCCCCAGCUCUCCAGGACGGGGCCCACGUGGAGCCGAGCAGGUCCCGCACCCAGGGUAGGAGGGUGCAGGGUCAUCACCCCUGGGGAGCAGGGGGGUCCCCAGGGCUUG
rnacentral:lncRNA from 1 species